GCCGGUGUGGCGGAACUGGCAGACGCGACGGAUUCAAAAUCCGUUUUCCCUUGAAAGGAAGUGCAGGUUCGAUUCCUGUCACCGGCA
rnacentral:tRNA from 1 species